GACGAACGCUGGCGGCGUGCCUAAUACAUGCAAGUUGAGCGAUGAAGAUUGGUGCUUGCACCAAUUUGAAGAGCAGCGCACGGGUGAGUAACGCGUGGGGAAUCUGCCUUUGAGCGGGGGACAACAUUUGGAAACGAAUGCUAAUACCGCAUAACAACUUUAAACAUAAGUUUUAAGUUUGAAAGAUGCAAUUGCAUCACUCAAAGAUGAUCCCGCGUUGUAUUAGCUAGUUGGUGAGGUAAAGGCUCACCAAGGCGAUGAUACAUAGCCGACCUGAGAGGGUGAUCGGCCACAUUGGGACUGAGACACGGCCCAAACUCCUACGGGAGGCAGCAGUAGGGAAUCGUCGGCAAUGGACGAAAGUCUGACCGAGCAACGCCGCGUGAGGGAAGAAGGUUUUCGGAUCGUAAAACUCUGUUGGUAGAGAAGAACGUUGGUGAGAGUGGAAAGCUCAUCAAGUGACGGUAACUACCCAGAAAGGGACGGCUAACUACGUG
rnacentral:rRNA from 1 species